rnacentral:tRNA from 1 species
AGCAGAGUAGCCCAGUGGAAAGAGCCUGGGUUUGGGAAUCAAUGGACCUGGGUUCUAAUGCCAGCUCUGCUA